UGGCAUGGUGGUUAAUGCUUUCGGCUGCUAACCAAAAGGUUGGUGGUUUGAACCCACC
rnacentral:tRNA from 1 species